rnacentral:rRNA from 1 species
AUUGAACGCUGGCGGAAUGCUUUACACAUGCAAGUCGAACGGUAGAGGGGGCAACCCCUCGAGAGUGGCGAACGGGUGAGUAAUAUAUCGGAACGUGCCCAGUCGUGGGGGAUAACGUAGCGAAAGUUACGAUAAUACCGCAUACGAUCUAAGGAUGAAAGCGGGGGAUCGCAAGACCUCGCGCGCUUGGAGCGGCCGACAUCAGAUCAGGUAGUUGGUGGGGUAAAGGCUCACCAAGCCAACUCACUGUAGCUGGUCCGAGAGGACGACCAGCCACGCUGGAACUGAGACACGGUCCAGACUCCUCCGGGAGGCAGCAGUGGGGAAUUUUGGACAAGGGACGCAAGUCUGAUCCAGCCAUUCCGCGUGCAGGAUGAAGGCCCUCGGGUUGUAAACUGCUUUUGUACGGAACGAAAAGGUCUCUCUUAAUACGGGGGACUCAUGACGGUACCGUAAGAAUAAGCACCGGCUAACUACGUGCCAGCAGCCGCCGUAA